rnacentral:rRNA from 1 species
AAAGGAAUAGACGGGGGCCCGCACAAGCGGUGGAGCAUGUGGUUUAAUUCGAAGCAACGCGAAGAACCUUACCAGGGCUUGACAUCCCCUGACCGCCUCAGAGAUGAGGUUUCUCUUCGGAGCAGGGAGACAGGUGGUGCAUGGUUGUCGUCAGCUCGUGUCGUGAGAUGUUGGGUUAAGUCCCGCAACGAGCGCAACCCUUGCUUUUAGUUGCCAUCAUUAAGUUGGGCACUCUAAAGGGACUGCCGGUGACAAACCGGAGGAAGGUGGGGAUGACGUCAAAUCAUCAUGCCCCUUAUGUCCUGGGCUACACACGUGCUACAAUGGUCUGUACAGAGGGCAGCGAAGCAGUGAUGCGGAGCGAAUCCCACAAAACAGAUCUCAGUUCGGAUUGCAGGCUGCAACUCGCCUGUAUGAAGCAGGAAUCGCUAGUAAUCGCAGGUCAGCAUACUGCGGUGAAUACGUUCCCGGGCCUUGUACACACCGCCCGU